AACGAGACCCAUGUGGCCGGUCUUCACUCUCGCUUCGGCUUCGUCCAGGAGAAACCCCAAACCGUAUCUUCCCCUCUCCCCAUCUCCACCGCCGCCUCCAUCGAUCCCCAACACCACCACCUCCACCGCCCAUGCCUCACAUGUGUGAGACCGGCUCCGCCCCGCCUGAAAGGCAGAGGGAGCAGCGUCUCUUCCUCUGGCAGCUGCCGACAUGGGCGCGUCGCGCGCACACGAGGAGAUUUGCCCAGCAGCCCGAGCUGCGGCCGAGAGCGAGGCAUGGGCGGAGGACCUUGCUGCGGCCGGGGCACGGGAAAUCAAGCAACUACCGGAGACCGCCGGCAAUGGCUCCGGGGCAGAGGAGGCGGCAGAGGAAUCAUAGAGGCGCUCUGGAGAGAAACCCACUGCGUACAAUUUUUUCUUUAUUUUGUGUCAACAAGUGCAAAAAAUGAAGAGGGAGGCUGGAAGGGGAAUGGGGCAGCGAAGAGGAUAGAUAAUUUACUUUUCUAAAAUUUUGCAAUUAUGUCAGUCAGCGAGACAGUGACUAGCGACGGUGGUGGAGGAAAGCCUGUUGAUCACGCCACUGAACCAGGAUAAGGAUGGGGGCAGUGGGCUGGUAAGGAGAAGUGGUGCACAUGGUGGCCGAGGGGAGGAAGAAAAAUUAAUAAAUUCAAGUUCAUAGAUAUGUGGUGAAACUAAGAAUAUAUUGUGCUCGAUGCAUUUGACAACUAAGUAGUUGAUGCACACAUACACUUACUAUUGUUCGGUGGCAAUGCAUUAUGGUUUGAGUAAGUCUAAAUGUAUGCUCUUUCCCUCAACUUGGUGGUAUCCUUGUUGAAAUAUAAAAAUUUCUGCGUGUGUUACA